AUGUCAUCUCGUAGUCAAGUGCUUCAAAUUUACAAUUCGUUUGUUACCAUGGUUCGCACUCAGUAUGAUUCCUCUGUUCCAGUUUUUCGUGCUGAUUCGGCUGGCGAGUACCUAUCUCGUGCGUUUUGUGGUUUCCUUGCUGAACAUGGUACCCUUCCUCAGUAUUCCUGUCCUGGUGCACAUGCUCAAAAUGGGUUGGCUGAACGCAAACAUCGUCACGUCCUUGAGACUGCUCGGGCUCUUCUUUUAUCUUCUGCUGUUCCCCCGCACUUUUGGGCUGAGGUUGUCUCUACCGUUGUUUAUCUCAUUAAUAUUCAGCCUUCUGUUGCUCUUCAGGGAGGGAUACCAGUUGAUCAUCUAGGUGAUGGUCCAGCUGAUUAUAGUGGUCUACGCCUGUUUGGUUGUGCAUGUUUUGUUCUUCUCCACCCUCAUGAACGCACCAAAUUGACUGCUCAAUCUGUUGAAUGUGUUUUCCUUGGCUACAGUUUGGAGCACAAAGGUUACCAUUGCUGGGACCCUAUUGCUCGGAGACUGAGAAUCUCCAAAGAUGUCACUUUUGACGAGUCUUGCUCCUUCUACGUACCCUCGUCAUUCUUCUACUGCCACCAUCGAGUCGUUAGUCGAGCAUCUCUCUUUUUUGACUCUACCUGA
rnacentral:rRNA from 1 species